rnacentral:piRNA from 1 species
UCUGGUCAAGUUGUUGUUGUAUAAACAAAA